GACGUAGGGCGCGAGCGUUGUCCGGAUUUAUUGGGCGUAAAGAGCUCGUAGGCGGCUUGUCGCGUCGUCUGUGAAAUCCCGCGGCUCAACCGCGGGUCUGCAGUCGAUACGGGCAGGCUAGAGUUCGGUAGGGGAGACUGGAAUUCCUGGUGUAGCGGUGAAAUGCGCAGAUAUCAGGAGGAACACCGAUGGCGAAGGCAGCUCGCUGGGACGGUAUUGACGCUGAGACGCGAAAGCGUGGGGAGCAAACAGG
rnacentral:rRNA from 1 species